GCUCUCAUAGUUUAAUGGAUAGAACAUCGGUUUGCGGUACCGACGAUCCAAGUUCGAUUCUUGGUGAGAGCA
rnacentral:tRNA from 1 species